UACAAAAUCCAUACCACCUUGAGAAUGCCCGACUUGUCUGAUCUCUGAAGCUAAUAAGGGUUGCACCUGGUAAGUACUGAAUGGGAGACCUUUGAAAAUAGGUGCCAUAGUGA
rnacentral:rRNA from 1 species